rnacentral:rRNA from 1 species
UACGUAGGUGGCGAGCGUUGUCCGGAUUUACUGGGCGUAAAGGAUGCGUAGGCGGAUAUUUAAGUGAGAUGUGAAAUACCCGAGCUUAACUUGGGUGCUGCAUUUCAAACUGGAUAUCUAGAGUGUGGGAGAGGAGAAUGGAAUUCCUAGUGUAGCGGUGAAAUGCGUAGAGAUUAGGAAGAACACCAGUGGCGAAGGCGAUUCUCUGGACCAUAACUGACGCUGAGGCAUGAAAGCGGUGGGUAGCAAACAGG